rnacentral:rRNA from 1 species
UUGGAGGGCAAGUCUGGUGCCAGCAGCCGCGGUAAUUCCAGCUCCAAUAGCGUAUAUUAAAGUUGUUGCAGUUAAAAAGCUCGUAGUUGAAUUUCGGGAUCAAGGGAUCGGUCAUGCCUUGGUAUGUACUGGUCUUAUUGGUUCUCACCUUCUAAAGAACCAUGAUGUCAUUCAUUUGAUGUUAUGGGGAAUUAGGACUGUUACCUUGAAAAAAUUAGAGUGUUUAAAGCAAGCUUACGCUUGAAUACAUUAGCAUGGAAUAAUGAAAUAGGACAUCAGAUUCUAUUUUGUUGGUUUCUAGGAUCGAUGUAAUGAUUAAUAGGGAUAGUUGGGGGCAUUAGUAUUCAAUUGUCAGAGGUGAAAUUCUUGGAUUUAUUGAAGACUAACUACUGCGAAAGCAUUUGCCAAGGAUGUUUUCAUUAAUCAAGAACGAAAGUUAGGGGAUCGAAGACGAUCAGAUACCGUCGUAGUCUUAACCAUAAACUAUGCCGACUAGGGAUCGGAUGAUGUUAAUUUUUUAAUGACUCAUUCGGCGCCUUACGGAAAC